rnacentral:rRNA from 1 species
GAUGAACGCUGGCGGCGUGCCUAAUACAUGCAAGUCGAGCGAACAGAUAAGGAGCUUGCUCCUUUGACGUUAGCGGCGGACGGGUGAGUAACACGUGGGUAACCUACCUAUAAGACUGGGAUAACUUCGGGAAACCGGAGCUAAUACCGGAUAACAUUUGGAACCGCAUGGUUCUAAAGUGAAAGAUGGUUUUGCUAUCACUUAUAGAUGGACCCGCGCCGUAUUAGCUAGUUGGUAAGGUAACGGCUUACCAAGGCAACGAUACGUAGCCGACCUGAGAGGGUGAUCAGCCACACGAGAACGGAGACACAGUCGACACUCCAACAGGAGGCAGCAGUAGGGAAGCUUCCGCAAUGAGCGAAAGCCUGACGGAGCAACAGCGCGUGAGUGAUGAAGGGUUUCGGCUCGGAAAACUCUGUUAUUAGGGAAGAACAAAAGUGUAAGUAACUGGGCACGUCUUGACGGUACCUAAUCAGAAAGCCACGGCUAACUACGUG